rnacentral:sRNA from 1 species
CGCGGGAAGAGGAAGGGAGCGUAACUCUUAGAAGUCACUAUGGUGACGGGGAGGUCGGGAGGCUUCUUGGUAACUGGUACCAGGUGUUUGAGAGCAAUCGCCACCGCUUUCCUGGAACUUGAGUAAAUACAAUCAAGUGGCAUCUUAAAUUUUUGCUGGAAGUGGAGUCAUGAGACUAAAGAUAUCUCUUUUAAAAGAACCAAAGCAUCAAGAAUUAGUAAGCUGUGUGGGCUGGACUACUGCUGAAGAGCUGUAUUCAUGUAGUGAUGAUCACCAGAUAGUGAAGUGGAACUUGUUAACCAGUGAAACAACUCAAAUAGUAAAGCUUCCUGAUGAUAUUUACCCUAUUGAUUUUCACUGGUUUCCAAAAAGUUUGGGUGUAAAGAAACAAACCCAGGCAGAAAGCUUUGUCCUCACAAGUUCUGAUGGUAAAUUUCAUCUGAUUUCCAAGUUAGGAAGAGUGGAAAAAAGUGUAGAAGCUCACUGUGGAGCAGUACUUGCAGGAAGAUGGAAUUAUGAAGGAACAGCAUUAGUUACAGUUGGAGAAGAUGGACAAAUAAAAAUUUGGUCAAAGACUGGGAUGCUUAGAUCAACUUUAGCUCAGCAAGAAGUGACCAUCUUGUUGCAGGAAAACAAGUUCAGGGCUCCCACUGAUUCUAUGUUAUGGUGAGUUGUAUAAUUAUUUCAUUAUAUAUUACAAUGUAAUAAUAGAAAUAAAGUACACAAUAAAUGUAAUACCCUUGAAUUAUCCUGAACCACCCCCACCUGGUCCAUGGAAAAAUUGUCUUC